CACAUGCACCUGUCCCGCAGCAUCACACGGUGCGAAAAGAUCACUUCUUCUUUUUCUCCUUCAUCUUCCUCUUCCAUGCUGAGGGCCAGGUGGCAGUUACAGCAAAUCCACGCCGUGUGUGUACAGCGAUUAGCUCGCAGUGAGAGGCAGCUCGCCCCCCGGACCUAUACACGCUACAGACUAACACUAGCCGUGGCUGAGCUUCGUCUACAUGGCUGCCGAGACAAGCAGAUGUAGGUGUGCCAACAACAGCUGCGCACUGACGAGAGACCAGUCCGGGGAAAACAGGAUAAAGUGGGAGACGGAAGCCCCGGGACAAAGAAAAUGGAUGGGAGGUAUUAGAGCGAACAGAGACGUCUUUGACUGGAGCGUAUUCAAAGACUGGAGAAGGAGAUGGCUGCAGUCGUCAGCAGCUGCUCAGGAUGUAAACUUGCCUUUUCAAGUGUUUGCGCAGCUUCCACCUCAGUAUCAGCGUGCAGAACACCAAAGUCACAGAGGACGUCCACUUUCCCACCUCUCUGCACCAGACUCUGCAGCGGGACGUGCACAGAGCCAAUGGUUCUUUGGAUGGAGGCCUCCUGCACUAGCUCUGGCACCGAUUUCUUCUUUUUGUCUUUAGACUUAUCUUUGGUGGAACCAGAUUUAAUUGGAGACUAUGGAGGAAACAUAGACAGGAAAUUCUGAAAAUGAUAUGCAGCCAAAUCGCCCAAAGCAGACUUGUGUGAGCAGCUCUGGUGGACUUUUGAUAUAUUGAAAUAAGUGGAACUCAACUCAUUAAUAAAACCAUGAUACAGAGACAGACAUGUUGUCCUCUGUCCGGACAAACAAAAACAUAAAUUACACGUGACAAUAGUUUUGCAAGUCAGGUUUUUUUUUUUAAGGGUAAAAUAAAAAAUCUUGCUCUCUCCGAAAAAGUCCAACUGUAAUUCCGUCACACUAGGGUAUUGACUGGUAGUGACAAAAACUGUGAUAUUAUAAGAUUAAACGGCACUAAGUGAAAUUCUGAUAUCUCGUCAAUCAUAGAUAAAACUAAAAUAAGAAUGACCAUACACUUCCCCUUUCUGAUUUCCUCUUCACCACUUCUUUCCCUGAUUCAUUUCUCUUUGAGAUACAAGCUGGAAUCUAUUUAGGGUAUCUAGAGGGUAAGAUAAGGAUCAGAUUAUCUUCAUCAGUGGAAUUGGCAGAUGGCGUAAUGUCUUGGGUCAGCUGCAUUCAGCCCAGCACCAACUUAAUUCACUGAUUUCUAAAAUAGAACAGGAACCUUCUGAUUAUUGGUCAACAUAAGACUAUGCAAAAUCAUAAAUUAUAAUAUUGGAAACAUCUGUAUAGAUGUAAUUGCUUUUGGACUAAUAAAGGUUAUUGAAAAAACAAAUGCUGAAUUAUUAUUACAAUGUGAUUACAGUAUAAUGAGAUUUAGAGCAAUCAAGGUGGGUUUAAUAAACCAUGGUAACAAUCGAAAUCUCAUACAAUAUGGCCAGGUCAUUGUAAGCACACAGUUUCUAUCUAUGUGCCCCAUUAUGGCAAAAAACUAUACGGGAGUUCCCUCAAAUUAUUUUUCAAUAGAUCUGCCUACUCAUCAUUUUGUAUGUAUAUUAUAUAGCGUUAAGAGGGUUUCCGAGUUUUUGAUUGAGUGGACUUCAAAGACAAACUCACUUCUUUCCCUUUACCGCCUUUCUUUUCUUUUACAGCUCGGCAUGGUUUGGGCCCCGGGACUUCUUCGGAGGCUGCAGGCCAUGAUAGAACCUAAAACGGCAGAUGCCGGAGAAUGAGUCCUAACACUUAAGGCUUUUAAACAUUUAUCUAUUGAUAACUCACGUGACCUUUUCCUCCAAUAUCGUCAGAUAAAGGCCUUGACUGAAGAAUCGUUUUAGGCCUCCCAGAUCACUCACAACGUAUGUUUUUGUGUCACUGAAGUCAAUGCAGUCUGACCAUUUCAGCUUUGAUGUGCUAUGUCUUGUCACUGUAGAAAUUAGAUAGUCCAAUUGUCGAUAUUGCGUGUAUAAAAACACAUUUCUUAGAUACAUACAGCUGUGACAGAAUAAAAAAACCUCAGACUGAGUGGAGAGUUAAGAAAAGUGUUACAAGAUAAUGACUGAUCACUAAUCAGUCAUCCAGUUUCACUGUGUGUACAACUCUCUUCUGACUGUAUUUCUUCUCGGAAGUUCACGGGAACUGAUAAGAAAAAGUUCCUCUCACUUCUACACGAUACAUUACUAAAUUAAAUAAAUACUGGCUUUGUUUCCAAACUUUUUUGUAUCAUUCCGUGGAAACAUAUGUGUCAGCUCUAUCAGCGUUUAUGAUGUAAUCCGGUUUCCUGUAGGAGAUAGAAUGAGUUGAUUUACCAUGGGCAAUAUCAUGGCAGGUUUCCUCAGUAACCACCGUCAAUGCUUGCGUGUAGGGUUUGGACGAUUCUUUCUCACAACUUUUGUUGGAUUGUAGACCGGCAGAACUGAAGCAGUCCUCUGUUACAUGUGCUGCAAAUUUAGACUCACUGUCAAAAUUCUGUAAAACAGCAACACAAAAAAAUAAAACAGUUUA